CGUGGAGUGAUCUGUCUGCUUAAUUGCGUUUCACUAAGGGCCCAUAAAUUCAAGGUAUGUUAGCUAUCGUUUCUCAAUUGACCCCUUGUCUUCGAUAAGCGCGUGUCUUUUAGAGUUUAACCAUUGCGCAUGCUGUUGGGUCCUGAAAGCAACGAACGUGACCGCAACGUCUUAUUGCCUUUAUCUUGUUAUAUUCUAAUUUAAUUAGAAAUAACUAACAGAGGCUAAUUUAAAAUUAGACGGACCGCUGUACUUUUCUUAAACCAGAGGAAGGUUGCGGCAAUAACAGGUCUGUGAUGCCCUUAGAUGUUCCGGGCGGCACACGUGCUACAAUGAUCAGUACAGUGAGCAUCUCAAUAUUAUACACCGUAUUAAGCGCUUAGUUGCGAUUAUUGGCUCAUUAUUGGGUCUUUUAAUUGUAUUUCUAAUGCGCGCGGUAAAGCCUGCUUCGAGAGUAAGUGGGUAAUCCAUUGGAAGUAAUGAUUUCUCUUUUUAUAGCACACCUAUAUACGGCAUUCAUUCCCGGGACGACUAGUUUCGU
rnacentral:rRNA from 1 species